UACGAAGGGGCUAGCGUUGCUCGGAAUGACUGGGCGUAAAGGGCGCGUAGGCGGAUGGCACAGUCAGAUGUGAAAUUCCCGGGCUUAACCUGGGGCUGCAUUUGAUACGUGUUGUCUUGAGUUCGGAAGAGGGUCGUGGAAUUCCCAGUGUAGAGGUGAAAUUCGUAGAUAUUGGGAAGAACACCGGUGGCGAAGGCGGCGACCUGGUCCGACACUGACGCUGAGGCGCGAAGCGUGGGAGC
rnacentral:rRNA from 1 species